AGGUUUGAUUUACUGAACAUUGGUGGCAAUGUGCAUGAUGUCUGGUUACUAUGUGGAGACUUUAACAAUGUAUUAUCCACUGAUGAUAGAAUUAGCCAACUGGUUACUGACACUGAGGCAAAAGGCUUUAAGGACUUGGUUUACAUCUUCAACUCACCCCUUUGAGAUUUUGAGAUCAAAGGGCUUCUUCUUCACUUGGACUAGCAAGAAAUAGGGAACAAAUAGGAUAUACAGUACAACUGAUUGGGAGCUUGGGAAUUUUGUUUGGAUACAAUAAUUUGGACAUGUUGAAGUGGAUUUAUUAACUCCAGGGAUUUCUGAUCAUUCCCCUGCCCUUGUCUAAUGUAUCCAUAAAGUGAGCUUGCAACCUAAGCCUUUCAGGCUAUAUGCAUCAGUCAUGGAACAUUUAAAAUUUUAGACUAUUCUGUAGCAGGUUUGGCAUAGUCCAAAAGGAGGUGAUCCUAUGACAGUCUUAUGGGAAAGGUCAAGAAGCUAAAAGAGGAUGUUAAGGAGCUCAAUACUUACAUGGCUUCAUAUGCUUAGAAGCUAUCACAAGCUAGGCAACAACUGGAAGUACAAGUUUAGAUUGCUUCUCAUGUAACAAAUAAGACAUUCAGAGGUGGAUCUUAGUGGAAGAUAACGUGCUUAGGAAAAAAUCUAAAGCUUGCUGGAUAGAUAGUGGAGAUGCUAAUAUAAAAUUUUUCCAUGACAAACUUAAACUCAGGACUGCUCAGAAUAUAAUCUCAUCAAUCUAUACUCAUAGUGGAAUAAAGCUCACUGAUCCUCAGGAUGUAGAGACUGAAUUUAUUGCUGAUUUCACUUCACUCAUGGGAGAUUGUGCUGCUGAACUGCCUUAUCCAAACUCAGAAUUUGUAAGAAAGGGCCAUGCCUUAAUAGAGACCAAUAAAUUCAGUUAGUGCGGAUGCUGAGUUAGAGAAAAUAGAUCAAGUUGUGACAGGAAUGCCUAAAGAUAAGAGCCCAGGGUUUGAUGGAUAUCCUAUUGAAUUUUUUCAACACCAUUGGACCAUUGUUAAAGCGGAAUUUUAUUUAGUUGUGUAGCAGUUUUUUUCUAAUGGUAAGAUGAAAAAAGCAUGGAAUUAUACAACUAAUUAAUUUAAUCCCUAAGGUUCCUUCACCUACUAAGGUAAAGGGCUUUAGACCUAUUGCCUGCUAUUCCACUGUAUAUAAAAUUAUUGCAACGAUUCUUGCUAAUAGGAUAAAGAAGGUGUUGAAUGGUCUCAUUGGUUGCUCACAGUCAGCUUUAUUGAAGACAGAGCUAUACUGACAAUAUCUUGCUCAGUCAUGAGCUCUUCAAAGGAUACACUAGGUAAAACAUAUCUCCUAGAUGUGUCCUUAAAGUGGAUCUUAGGAAAGACUAUGAUACUCUUGAGUGUCCAUUCCUAAAAGCUAUGCUGGUUGAGCUGAGGUUUCCUAAAAAAAUUGUAGUUUGGGUAAUAGAAUGUUUCUCUACAGUAUCUUAUUCCUUGAUGAUGAAUGGUAAACUUACAUAGCCAUUUCAGGCUAGGGGUUUGAGGCAGGGGGAUUCUAUGUCCCCAUAGUUUUUUGUGAUAGCUAUGGAGUAUCUACAUAGACAAAUGCAACAACUAGCAGAAUAGAAGCUGUUUUAUUUUCACCCAAGAUCCAAAAGAUUUAAUUUGAUUCACAUGUGUUUUGCAGAUGAUUUCGUGAUGUUUUGUAGGCUGAUAUGGACUCUGGUACUCUACUUCAAGAGACUUUCCAUAAAUUCUCAAAUGCUUCUAGGUUGGAGGCUAAUAUUGACAAGAGCUCUAUUUGUAUGAAAAGUAUUAACAACUACUUAAAAAAUGAUAUCUUACAAGCCUUAGGAUAUGUGGAAGGGAACUUGACAUUAAAAUAACCUGGUGUACCUCUAUCUACAUAGAAGUUAAUUAUCUCACAAUGUAUGCCUGUGGUUGAGAAGUUUCUGUUAGAGUUAGAUGCUGGUCAACUAGGCUACAAUCAUAGUCUGGUAGACUUUUAACUCAUCAAAGCAGUGUUAUUUGGUAUGCAAAGUUAUUGGGCACAAAACUUUAUCUUGCCUAAGAGAGUGCUAAAAACAUUGGAAGCUGUCUGUAGAACCUUUUUGUGGGUUGGCCAAGUUGAAUUAUCAAAGAAGGCAUUGAUUGCUUGGACAAAAUAUGCCAACCAAGUUCAACAAAUUGGGUGUUACUGAUAUGAAAAUAUGGAAUAAAAUAGCUAUAUUGAAGCAUUUGUGGGCUAUUUCAAAGAAAUAUAAUAUGUGGAUCAAAUUGGUGCAUUAUUAUUAUGUUAAGCAUAGAAAUCUGGAAGUGAUACCCAUACCUGAAAAUGCGACAUGUGUGGUGAGGAAAAUAAUUGACAGUAGGAAGGUGUUACAGUCUCAAUACCUGCUUUAGGGGUUGCUUUUGCAAAUAUUAGAGAAGAUGGUACAUGGAGGAAAGUUCUUUAUCAAGCAAGCUUAUCUGACUCUACAACCUCAGUACUCUAAUGUCCCAUGGAAAAGUAUCAUAUUGCAUUAACAUGUACAUCCCAGAGUUAAGUUCCAUCUAUGGUUGACAGUACAUUAGAGAUUGGCAAUAAUUGAAAGACUCCAAUGAAUUGUUAUAGCAAGCCGGCGUGGACCAAAUUAUUGGUCUGGUGAGGCAUCACAAGGAACAUUAGAGCUUGGAAUCAUGUGCUUGAAUGGAUUUGUAAAGUAGCAAAAAGAAAGAAUGGACAUGCUGCGAUCAUCUAUUCUACAUUUGCUAUGACUCUACAUUGCAUCUGGAACAAAAAUAUGUUGAGAUUUCAGAAAGGUCAGGUCAUCAUGGAAAGAACCAGCAUGGAUAUUGUAAUGCAUAUGUACAUUCAAGAGAGAAACAUUGCAGCUUAACAGUCUACUUUGAGCGUGAUGGAUUAUUUCCCUUAAGCUAUGGAGUUUCCGUGUUUCAGAGUGUUUUUUUAGUUAAUCUAGUGGUUGUAGAGGAUAUUGUUUCACUAGAUUAGCUUUCUUUUGGUAGGAUUAUUUGAGGUAGAUGGUCAGCUUCUACUUGGUUAUGAACUGACACUCUUUUUGAUUAAUAAAGAGCAAUUUGUUUAAU